UACGAGGGGGGCAAGCGUUGUUCGGAAUUACUGGGCGUAAAGGGCUCGUAGGCGGCCAACUAAGUCAGACGUGAAAUCCCUCGGCUUAACCGGGGAACUGCGUCUGAUACUGGAUGGCUUGAGUUUGGGAGAGGGAUGCGGAAUUCCAGGUGUAGCGGUGAAAUGCGUAGAUAUCUGGAGGAACACCGGGUGGCGAAGGCGGCAUCCUGGACCAACACUGACGCUGAGUGAGCGAAGCCAGGGAGCAAACGGG
rnacentral:rRNA from 1 species